GAGUGAACGCUGGCGGUAGGCCUACCACAUGCAAUUCGAACGGCAGCCCAGUAACAGCUUGCUCUUACGGGUGGCGCGUGGCGGACGGGUGAGGAAUACAUCGGAAUCUACUUUUUCGUGGGGGCUAACGUAGGGAAACUUACGCUAAUACCGCAUACGACCUACGGGUGAAAGCAGGGGAUCUUCGGACCUUGCGCGAUCGAAUGAGCCGAUGUCGGAUUAGCUAGUUGGUGGGGUAAAGGCCCACCAAGGCGACGAUCCGUAGCUGGUCUGAGAGGAUGAUCAGCCACACUGGAACUGAGACACGGUCCAGACUCCUACGGGAGGCAGCAGUGGGGAAUAUUGGACAAUGGGCGCAAGCCUGAUCCAGCCAUGCCGCGUGGGUGAAGAAGGCCUUCGGGUUGUAAAGCCCUUUUGUUGGGAAAGAAAAGCAGCAGGUUAAUACCCCGCUGUUCUGACGGUACCCAAAGAAUAAGCACCGGCUAACUUCGUG
rnacentral:rRNA from 1 species